UUGAUAGCUGCUGGGCGUGCCUACAAUUCAAGCAGUUUGAUGGGCACGAGUGGGGACCUGACUGAUAUAGGAGCUGAUUGUGAAGAUCUUGUGGCCUCUACCUGUCAGAUCACAGAGGUAUGUUUGAUAUUUUUUUCCCUUUUCAGGAUGCAGAACUUGAAACAGAUAGUUGCAUUAUGAUAUCUGUUGUCUAAUGUGUUAGUGUGUGCACCUUUUUACUUGUUCUAGGCUGGACUUGGAGGACCACUCAUUGAUCUUGCUGGCAAUUUUGUUGGGAUGAACAUUUGUUUUCAUGGUGAUACGCAAAAGCCUUUGUUUCGACCAAAGAUAUUGCUUCGUCAACGCCUGGAGCAAUAUGAGAU
rnacentral:lncRNA from 1 species